UCCUUGGUAGUCUAGUGGUUAGGACUCAGUGUUUUCACCACUGUAGCCUGAGUUCAAUCCCUGGACUGGGAA
rnacentral:tRNA from 1 species